AGUGUGUGUGUGUGUGUGUGUGUGUGUGUGUGUGUGUGUGUGUGUGUGUGUGUGUGUGUGUGUGUGUGUGUGUGUGUGUGUGUGUGUGUGUGUAUAUAUAUAUACUGUAUGCAGUGUGUGUCAGAGAGACAAGAGAGAGAGUGUACGUGCUACUCUGCCUGUAUUUGAAGUGCCGACAUGGAAGACGUUCAACAGUGGGAUUGUGGUGCCAGGACAUAAGGAAAUAGAAAACACAUCCAUGUGUAUAGACCCUCUUCUCCUGGGGAGACCAACAGAGAACCCCUCACCUCCACUGCCUCACACCUUCACACACAACCCCCUCACACACACAGGAACUGGUUAACUUAACCCCUCUGCCCAGAGAGAAGAGAGAGAAACAGAGACAGCUGUGCGUAGCUGUGUUAUCCUCACUAGUCAGCUAGCUAGCCCAUGCAUGGUGCCUCUGUCUGUUCUGAGGUAGGGAGAUAGGGGCGCCUUAAGCCAGUGCUGGAAUUAAACAUCUUCCCCAUAUACCCACCAGCGUGUGGGUCAUCGGCCAAUUCCCCUUUGGAAUCUGCAUGUCAUGUGACGGCCGGGGCCUGAAGGUGGAGUGGCUGCUUCCUGUACCCGUUAACCCCUGCUACAAACCUGUGUGUGUGUGUGUGUGUUUAACCAGAAGUCCCCACAACAGUAGUAAACUAAAAGAAAUCUGACCAACUGGUGACAUUUUGUAAGUCCCCACAAGGAAAAAGUACAUUUCUAGUUGGUUAGGGUUAGACUUGGAUUAGGGUUACAUUUAGGGCUAGGUUUAGGGUUAGGUUUAGGGCUAGGUUUAGGGCUAGGUUUAGGGUUAGGUUUAGGGUUAGGUUUAGGGCUAGGUUUAGGGUUAUGUUUAGGGUUAGGUUUAGGGCUAGGUUUAGGGUUAGGAUUGGAUUAGGGUUACAUUUAGGGUUAGGGGUUAAGGAAAAUAGGAUUUUGAAUGGGAAUAAAUUGUGUCCCCACAAGGUUAGAUAAACAUAAAUGUAUGUGUAUGUGUGUGUUUCUCUCUCUCUCUCUCUCUCUCUCUCUCUCUUUCAUGUUCAUUAGGCUUAGUUAUGUUUAGCCUGGAAGGCAGGGGUGUAUGUAUAUGUAGAGUGCUGUUUUCAUGAAGGGAGUGUAGUACUGAGACAGGCUAUAGGACUAUAGACUGGUAAACAUUGGGCUGCCCUGCCUGACUGGCUCUGGUACUCACACUGUUUUUAUUAGUGAUAAACCAUGGCUGGAACCCUACCAGAAAAACCACUACAGACAAGCUCCAUGUCUUGUUAAAUACGUGUACAUGUAAAGGGUAUUCCUCUAAGCAAACAGGUGGGGAGAUUUCUGUUAGUCCGCUAAAGCAGAGAAAACCAUCUGCAAACCACCGAUGGUACCCACGACUCUGGGAUGAUUUGACUGUCUGUGCGUGCGCGUGUGUGUGUGCGUGUGUGUGUGUGUGCGUGUGUGCGUAUGUGUGUAUGUAUGUGUGUGUGUGUGUGUGUGUGUGUGUGUGUGCGUGUGUGCGUAUGUGUGUAUGUGUGUGUGUGUGUGUGUGUGUGUGUGUGUGUGUGUGUGUGUGUGUGUGUGUGUGUGUGUGUGUGUGUGUGUGUGUGUGUGUGUGUACGAGAGAGACAGAGAGUGUAUAAUUUAGUUGAUUUAGGCAUUCUAAAUGAUUAAUUAUUGUUACUAGUACACUGGAAACGGCUGCUCAUGUAAGACCAGUGAAGUCUGCAGUAGCCAUGGCAACCCAACACAGCAGUAGCCAUAACACAGCAUUCCUGUCAUUCUAAUGGCUGGAAACUUUUAAGUCCAGUCUACAUCCAGUAGGGAACCUUUGGGUUUUUUAAUUAAACCUGUGCUUAAAAGAAAUGGAAAAUGAUUUGUCUUAAUUAAAAUCACUCCAAAUCCUCAAUUCACUAACACACACACCUACAUACCCACACACACAGUUUAUAGCCCAGCACGUAAAACAGUUUGUUAAAGCAUCAGGGAUGUCUCAGCUGAGGGUGUUGUGUGAGUGAUUUUUAAUGGCGGGCUGACGCACCUCAUUACCCCGG
ensembl:lncRNA